AUUGAACGCUGGCGGCAGGCCUAACACAUGCAAGUCGAGCGGAGCGGCGGACGGGUGAGUAAUGCCUAGGAAUCUGCCUGGUAGUGGGGGAUAAAGUCCGGAAACGGGCGCUAAACCCGCAUACUAUGAGAUGAGCCUAGGUCGGAUUAGCUAGUUGGUGGGGUAAAGGCCUCCCAAGGGGACGAUCCGUAACUGGUCGGAGAGGAUGAUCCGUCACACGGGAACUGGGACACGGUCCAGGGUACUAAGGGAGGGAGCAGUGGGGAAUAUUGGGCAAUGGGCGAAAGCAUGAUCCAGCCGUGCCGCGUGUGUGAAGAAGGUCUUCGGAUUGUAAAGCACGUUAAGUUGGGGGGCGUUAGCAACAGAAGAAGCACCGGCUAACUUCGUGCCAGCAGCCGCGGUAAUAC
rnacentral:rRNA from 1 species